rnacentral:rRNA from 1 species
UGGAGACGAGGUGCUGCAUGGCUGUCGUCAGCUCGUGUCGUGAGAUGUUGGGUUAAGUCCCGCAACGAGCGCAACCCUUGCCUUUAGUUGCCAGCAGUUCGGCUGGGCACUCUAAAGGGACUGCCGGUGUUAAACCGGAGGAAGGUGGGGAUGACGUCAAGUCCUCAUGGCCUUUAUGACCAGGGCUACACACGUACUACAAUGGCCGAUACAAAGGGCAGCGACACUGCGAGGUGAAGCCAAUCCCGUAAAAUCGGUCUCAGUCCGGAUUGGAGUCUGCAACUCGACUCCAUGAAGUUGGAAUCGCUAGUAAUCGUGGAUCAGCAUGCCACGGUGAAUACGUUCCCGGGCCUU